rnacentral:rRNA from 1 species
AGAGUUUGAUCAUGGCUCAGAACGAACGCUGGCGGCAUGCCUAACACAUGCAAGUCGGACGCCGCAGUCGCCUUCGGGCGGCAUGUGGAGUGGCGGACGGGUGAGUAACGCGUAGGAACCUACCCGGAAGUGGGGAACAACCGCUGGAAACGGCGGCUAAUACCGCAUACGCCCCAAGGGGGAAAGGCUUCGGCCGCUUUCGGAGGGUCCUGCGUUCGAUUAGCUAGUCGGUGAGGUGACGGCUCACCGAGGCGACGAUCGAUAGCUGGUCUGAGAGGAUGAUCAGCCACACUGGGACUGAGACACGGCCCAGACUCCUACGGGAGGCAGCAGUGGGGAAUAUUGGACAAUGGGCGAAAGCCUGAUCCAGCAAUGCCGCGUGUGUGACGAAGGCCUUAGGGNUUGUAAAGCACUCUCGCCCGCGUAGGA